rnacentral:rRNA from 1 species
AUUGAACGCUGGCGGCAGGCUUAACACAUGCAAGUCGAGCGGGCGAGGUUGCUUCGGUAACUGAGCUAGCGGCGGACGGGUGAGUAAAGCUUAGGAAUCUGCCUAUUAGUGGGGGACAACAUUUCGAAAGGGAUGCUAAUACCGCAUACGUCCUACGGGAGAAAGCAGGGGAUCACUUGUGACCUUGCGCUAAUAGAUGAGCCUAAGUCGGAUUAGCUAGUUGGUGGGGUAAAGGCCUACCAAGGCGACGAUCUGUAGCGGGUCUGAGAGGAUGAUCCGCCACACUGGGACUGAGACACGGCCCAGACUCCUACGGGAGGCAGCAGUGGGGAAUAUUGGACAAUGGGGGGAACCCUGAUCCAGCCAUGCCGCGUGUGUGAAGAAGGCCUUUUGGUUGUAAAGCACUUUAAGCGAGGAGGAGGCUACCGAGAUUAAUACUCUUGGAUAGUGGACGUUACUCGCAGAAUAAGCACCGGCUAACUCUGUGCCAGCAGCCGCGGUAAUACAGAGGGUGCAAGCGUUAAUCGGAUUUACUGGGCGUAAAGCGCGCGUAGGUGGUUAAUUAAGUCAAAUGUGAAAUCCCCGAGCUUAACUUGGGAAUUGCAUUCGAUACUGGUUAGCUAGAGUAUGGGAGAGGAUGGUAGAAUUCCAGGUGUAGCGGUGAAAUGCGUAGAGAUCUGGAGGAAUACCGAUGGCGAAGGCAGCCAUCUGGCCUAAUACUGACACUGAGGUGCGAAAGCAUGGGGAGCAAACAGG